UUUAAAAGUGAUUCCAUUUUUGUUUUACUUUUGUUCACUACAGGUUACCAGGACUGAAAAGUGAAAGCCUUGGAAGAAAAGGAGGAGUCUGGAAAAACACUGGAAAGAAAGAGAAAGAAGAAAAGAAAUCAAGAGAGGGGUAUGCUAAGAAGCUGAGAUUGGUCUGCUUUUCAUGUUUGAGUGAAUUGGGUGAAUACAGAAAUCAAAACAUUUGACUCAGAACAUGCUUCUCAUCAAGGAUUAAAAAAAGAAAAAGAAACAAAAUCAUAACAACAGUUCCUUAAUGCACCUGGGGAAGUACAGUAUUUUCUUGAAGACCUUUAAACAGAAGCAUGAAAGCCUAGAGAGUCUCAGACCUAAAGAUGGGAACUGGAGACAGACUUGAUGAGUUACUGACAUCCACCUCAGCUCUACAUUCAACUGGUGAGAUCAAGAAUUUUCUGCUCUCUGCCUUUAGCACAGAAAAAAAGAACUUUAGGUUUGAUGUGAGGUUUUUGAAUUGCUUGGACCAGGCUUGGCUUUCACUCCAAGGUCUAACUCAGGUUGCUUAAAGUGGCACAGGCAUUUUUUUUCCCUUAACAAAAGAAACAGAACAUUAUUUUUAGAUGCCUGAAGGGCUGUCUGUCUGACUCACAAACCAACCCAUGUAAUCAGCUUCAGAACUUAAUAACAUUGUUCAAGUGAACAGGGAUGCAGGCUGCAAGAUUAAAGAAAGUCAAAUGCACAUAACAGCUCACUUCAACUUUGCAAUCAGACAGGUAAUUAUUAUUUCUCAGGAUGCCAUAGUCCAGCAAUUAUAAAAUUUAAAUAUUAAUUUUAGAAGUCUUAAUUAUAGCAACCAGAAUAGUUCUGUUCAAAAUAGUCCCCAAAAUAACUUUGCAAGAAGCUAAUAGCAAUUUACCUGAUUGAGGAACAGGUAGAGAUUUAAUUAGAAAUGGAAAAUGCAGUUCGCUUCUAUUUGCAUAGUAAACAGAAGAAGAAUUUGAUAUUUUGGGGGAAGUUUUUACUUGUUUUUUAUUAUUGAAAUAAUAGGUUAUCAACAAAUUCACAAAAAAUGUGUUCAAUUGAUGAACAUAAACAUAUGAUUUGCCUUGAUUUAUGCUUGAUCUGUGUCUAUUUUAUUUAUCUGUAAAUAUCAGAUAUGUAAUUAAGAUAUGUAAACAAAGAUUUUUACCACAUCUAUUUUCUGAUAUGUGGAAAUAACAUAGCAUGCUGAUUUACUUCUCAAUGUAAAUCUGUCUUGAAACAUACUUCCCUGGGGAGUAAAUAGAUUUUUUUAUUUUUUUUUGUCUGGAAGAGUGGUUGUGCAAGGAGAGGCAAUGCUUUGUUUCUGUAGUUAACACAUCUAGUGAGAUUUAAUGUCUUCACACUGCAGCUAAUGUACUCUCUGUACUUCUGUACUGAUUGUCUAUACCGAGAAACCCAAUUGAAACAUUUUGGUGGUAAACUCAGUGGUGUUACCAGCAGUACUGAUCCAGUAGGCUAUGCCAUCAUAAAUACAUAACAGUUAAGGUUCAUGGAUUAAUACUGUAGAAUUUAGAGACUGCAGCUGUGAUUAUGCCAGGCUCCAUAGAGCCUGCUGUAGAGACCUCAUGCUGUAAAAAUACAAGUAAAUAAGAAAGUGUAUUCCCUAUUUUACAGAAUGGGAGAAUCAAGUCAUAUAAAAUUUAAAUAAUUUGUUUUAUACCCCACAGAAUGUUACUUGAUCCUUUUCUUAAUUACACUGUUUCAGUUAAGUCAUAUCUUUUCCCCCUUUCAUGUGCUUUAUUGAACUAAGUCAUAUUCCCUCCUUUCUUUAUGGAGCACAGAAUAUAAACUCUUCCAUUUUCUAUUUCUUUCAUUUUUUUUUUCUUUCCAGUUGUCAGGAUUUAUUUUUGAGGAUGUCAUUCUCAACCUAUUGUGACCCUCUCUCUGAGUUCCCAAAAUUGCCAUAUGUCUUAGAUGAUGUAAGAAUUAUUAAAAUAUUUCACAUUACUCUUUAUUUAUCUAUGAUAGAUACAGAAGAAAAAAUGGUUUAUGAUAAAAAAAAAAAAAAGUUUACCAUGCAGUGGAGGGGAUAUUCAGAAUCUUAUGCUGUUAGAGCUGGUGUCAACAAUUCAAGAAGAUGUAUAUUUAUUUUCUCUUUAUUGCAUAACGAGAAACUUUGCUUAAAGGGAAAUAGUUUUAUUGUUCUGAGAGAAUUUCUGUAAUUUAAAGAUUCAAUACCGUGGGCCUGAGGGUAGAAAGAAGAUCAAGCAGAUGAAAUACUUUCUAGUUUGGUAAUUUUAUCAUUUUACUGAGAUUGGAAUUCAAGUAUUUGUUCAAGGAAGUAAUUACUGAAUACAAGGUAGAAUAAGACUUGAAGAGGGUGGGAGAGAACAGCAAGUAAGGACCACUGGAACAUGGAAAACUAAGGUUCAUUCCACAAAAUUAAAUCAGCUUCUGUGUGUGCUAACAAUAGACAGCUGGGCCCUCUGCAUUGCUUUUGCUCAUCAUGACCAGAAAUUUUGUUUGGGGCAUGAGAUAUUUUGUGGAUUUUAGUGACUAAAUCUCUUCACAAAUGAACAAUUUCUGAUGAAAGCUUUUAACUGGGGAACUUCUGACUAGCUGUGGAUGCUAGAGGGAGUUACUUCAGGACUAUGCAAAACCAAUCUAUGUCCCAGCAACCCUGAAAGCAUCACCCUCCUCCACUGAAAAAAACAUUGGUUUCUUUUUCUACUGCAGCUGAAUUAACCAGAAAAGAUGCAGUGAAAGCAGUGGCAGUAAAUUGCAUAAACUGUGUGUUGCCCCAAGCUCUAUCUGAAUUAAUCUUUUCUCUGAGAUAUGUGUCCUGAAUUUAGAUAACCAUACUAGCCUUUUAUAUAAAUACUGUAGAAAAUGUAGAAUACAAAUACUUUGUGGAGUACAAUGUAAAAAUAAAUGAACCGAUGACUCAUCUUUAACACAAAGCAUGGCUUCUAAAAAUAGAAAGAACCUUUCAUGAUUUUGGAAAUGGCUUCUCAUGGUCCCCGAUAAAUUAUUUUUUCUUUCUCCAAGUGGAAACCAAGUGAAUGGUGUUGAGAACCAUCAGAAAGAGGUAGUCUUUACAAUAUAUGCCAUUGGUCAGGAAAUCAGUUCAGGAUUCAGAAAGCUGCAUAUGUUACCGAGAUGAGUUUACAUGUUCUCACAGUGGUAUCCUAUUUUAUACAGGUGUUGAAACAUGUCAGCUAUGGAAAUAGAUUAAAUAUACCAUCAAAAUAAAAAAGGAAUAGUAACCAAAACCCAAAUGGCUUUCUCUGACAAUGCCUGAAUGUACCAUCUGUUUCCACUGCAUUAUAAAUUGAUGUAGAAAAUUGAUAUGCAGUGCUAUUUCUGGGUAGCUUCUCAUUUGCAUUUGCUUUUGUUAAAAAUGGACCUAACUGAAAACCAUCACACUCAAAUCUGCCAGACUUUGGAAGGAAGUGUUCAAACCAGCCUGGUGUCUUCCAACCCAAAGCUGGAUCUACAUCUGAAAUGGUGCAGCUGCCCACAUAUGUAUAGAGUGCUAAAACACAACUUUGGAUCUAGACACCACACAGCUUGUCAGAUGUUCAGGGUCCUGAUCCAAAUUGUCCACUUUAUUUAGGACGGUAACAAUUGAAUAAUUAUAAUGACAUAAGGCUUACCACCUAGCUACAUUAAAUAACCAUCUAAUCAUUUAACUGAGGCAGCCAAUAAAUAAUAGCAGUAUGGUUACUUUUACCCAAUACCAAAAAUACAAACUCUGUCUUCUUUGCCUUCAUAUGUACUAAUAAAUGUUAAUAUGAAAUCACUGUAUAACAGUUUGCCAUGGUCAUGAUUGUGAUUAAUCUCAAUGUAAAUCAACAUCCCAAAAUAUCAUUUCAUCAGGUGGCUGGAUGUAGCUGCUUCCAAACCCUGUGUAAUAGUCCAAUCAUUUCCAGGCAGAAAUGGAGCAGCCAAAAUGCUCAGACCUAAGCUGGUGACAUAUUGUCUCUGCUGGAGACUGUGCUGGGCAAGAGCAGAUGUAAAUGAAACUCCUUCCUGACAUCUGCUUCUUUCUCUACGUGACCUGUGUUGGAGAGGCUUAAGAGAUG